rnacentral:rRNA from 1 species
AUGAACGCUGGCGGCGUACCUAAUCCAUGCAAGUCGAGCGAACAGAUGAGGAGCUUGCUCCUCUGACGUUAGCGGCGGACGGGUGAGUAACACGUGGAUAACCUACCUAUAAGACUGGGAUAACUUCGGGAAACCGGAGCUAAUACCGGAUAAUAUAUUGAACCGCAUGGUUCAAUAGUGAAAGACGGUUUUGCUGUCACUUAUAGAUGGAUCCGCGCCGCAUUAGCUAGUUGGUAAGGUAACGGCUUACCAAGGCAACGAUGCGUAGCCGACCUGAGAGGGUGAUCGGCCACACUGGAACUGAGACACGGUCCAGACUCCUACGGGAGGCAGCAGUAGGGAAUCUUCCGCAAUGGGCGAAAGCCUGACGGAGCAACGCCGCGUGAGUGAUGAAGGUCUUCGGAUCGUAAAACUCUGUUAUUAGGGAAGAACAAAUGUGUAAGUAACUAUGCACGUCUUGACGGUACCUAAUCAGAAAGCCACGGCUAACUACGUG